UAGCAUUAAAUCCAUGAAAUACCUAUUCAAAUACAUAUACAAGGGCCAUGACAGAGCGUCUGUGGCUGUUAGGGAGGCUGGAAAAAAAGAUGACAAGGGGAACGUUGAUGAGAUCACGCAGUACAGAGAGGCCCGGUGGGUGACACCUCCAGAAGUGAUGUGGAGGAUAUAUAGCUUGGACUUGAGCAAGAACCAUCCACCAGUGCAGCAGUUGCAGCUUCAUCUUCCCGACAUGCAUAUGGUUACAUAUCAUAAACGGGACAAGAUCGAACAGGUUGUCAAGCAUCCAGGUGCCGACGAGUCAAUGCUAACAGCGUACUUUGACUACAACAAGCUUCAUGAGGAAGCUCGAGGAAUCUUGUACCAUGACUUUCCGGAGCAUUAUACUUGGGAGUCUAAUGGUAAAUUUUGGAAACCAAGGAAAAAUGUCGUAUACCAAGUUGGGAUACUCGUAUUGGCUCAUCCGGCUGAGGGGGAACGCUACUUUCUUUGGGUUCUCCUAAACCAUGUUGCUGGGGCUACUUCAUACAGGGACCUAAGGACUGUUGACGGUGUGCUCCUGCCCUCAUUCUGUGAAGCUGCGGAGAGGCGAGGCCUAAUCGAAGAAGAUAAUAUACUUGAUGAGUGUCUUACUGAAAACAGUUUGUUCUAUAUGCCAUCCUCAUUGCGUAGGUUAUUCGCGACAAUAUUGGUAUUCUGCGAGCCAAAUGAUGUGUUUGGGUUGUGGACAAAACACCUUGACGCAAUGUCAGAAGACUAACAGGCGCAACAAUCCAAACCCGAGUCUGGUGGAACAGAUGGUUUUGAUUGACAUUAGGAAUAUGUUGCAAUCUAUGGGGAAGGACAUAAGAUCAUUCCCUCUUCCAGGAAUUGACGACGCAUAUGACGAUGCUAGCGGUAUCCCUCGUGAGAUAUUUGAGGAGGCAAGCAUUGAUCAGAAUUCGGAAGAUGUGGGACUAUCUGAUUCCCUAAACGAGGAGCGGAGGGCUGCCUAUGAAGAGAUAAUGUCCAAAGUGGACACCAAACAAGGCGGUUUGUUCUUUGUAGAUGGACCUGGCGGCACAGGAAAGACAUUUUUGUACAAGGCACUUCUCGGAACCCUUCGCAAUCAGAACAAGUUUGCCAUUGCUACAGCUCCAUCUAGUGCCGCAGCGUCUAUAAUGCCUGGUGGGAGGACGGCCCACUCACGUUUCAAGAUACACCUUACUCUUGAGGAUGGUGGUUGUUGUAGUUUUACCAAAUAGAGUGGUACUAAAAAGCUAUUGCAGCAAGCAUCUCUCAUCAUUUGGGAUGAGGCGUCUAUGGCAAAGAGGCAAGCUAUAGAAGCCCUAGACAACAGCCUACGUGAUAUAAUGGGCCGACAGGAUCUGCUGUUCGGUGGGAACACUGCUGUCUUAGGAGGGGAAUUCAGACAGGUUCUCCCUGUUGUACGGAAAUGAUCUAGGGCCCAGAUAGUCGAUGCUUCUCUACGGAGGUCGUAUCUUUGGGAAUCCAUGCACCACCUUAAGCUCGUGCGCAACAUGAGGGCGCAGAGUGACCCGUGGUUUGUAGAAUAUCUACUGCGCAUUGGUGGUGACACGGAGGAGGUUAACGGAGAUGGUGAUGUAUGUCUUCCUGACGGUAUAUGUGUCCCGUACUCUGGGGAUUCUGAGAAAGAUCUUGACAGGUUGAUUGAAUGCAUCUUUCCAAACCUCAAUGCAAACAUGACAAACAAGGACUACAUCACCUCCAGAGUGAUUCUAUCCACACGUAAUGAUUGGGUGGACAAUAUUAAUAUGAAGAUGAUCGACAUGUUCCAGGGUGGGGAGAUGGUGUACCAUAGUUUCGACUCCGCGAUUGAUGAUCCGUAUAACUACUAUCCGUCGGAGUUCCUUAACACAUUGACUCCCAACGGGCUUCCUCCACAUUUGCUAAAGUUCAAGAUCGGCUGCCCGGUCAUAUUGCUUAGGAAUAUUGACCCUGCGAAUGGACUGUGCAAUGGUACAAGGCUGGUGGUUCGAGGCUUCCAAAGAAAUUCAAUUGAUGCUGAAAUUGUGCUGGGACAGCAUGCCGGAAAGAGGGUUUUCCUUCCUCGAAUACCGUUGUGCCCCUCUGAUGAUGAGAUGUUCCCAUUCCAAUUUAAGAGGAAGUAGUUCCCUAUUAGGCUCAGUUUCGCCAUGACGGUCAACAAGUCACAGGGCCAAACUAUACCAAAUGUGGGUGUGUACCUGCCUGCCCCUGUGUUCUCUCAUGGUUAGUUGUAUGUUGCUAUGUCUAGAGCCACAGCCAGAAUGAAUAUCAAGAUCCUCGCCCUCCCGCCUAACGCAGAGGUAGACGAGGAACAAACUAAAAAGAAGGAAAAGAAAAAAGCUUAUAAGAAAGUGAAUGGCCAGGGUAAUCAAAAUAACAAUGAACAAAAAGGUACAUCAGUGAAGAAGAAAAUGGUACCAACUGUAGAUGGCACGUCUACGAAGAAUAUUGUAUACAAGGAGGUUCUAACACCAUUGGCGAGGUAAUAUAAUGGUUAUUCGUGCGUGUCUUACAUUUUUCAUUUAUUUUUUAAAAAUUACUGAACUCAUCAAUUCCAUGUUUCUUGCUCUUGCUAGGUAUUUUUAAAUGCUUUGCCGUACCCUGCAUGGAUAAUUUGCAUCCACACGAGCUGCUAAUUAUCAAGUCAAGUGUUUAGGUUGAAGUGAUUGCUUAAUUUUGUCACAUGAUGUCACUGCAUGGGAAAUUCCACCUAUACUGAAAAACUGGAUUACAUUCGAGAAAAUGUGAAAAAUGAUAAAAGUAGAGAAUCUUGACUUGCCUUUAAUAUAGCCAUACAAUUUUCACAUAUAAAACUAUUAAUAUAGCCAUACAAUUUUUCACAUAUAAAACUUAUUUCAAAUAACAGGACAGCUGAUCAGAUUAAAAUUCGCCACAUAUAAAAGCAGCCUUCUCUUACUGGGUCCAUGCUCAUGCUAAGCCGCCUGAGACUAGAUUAGCGACCAGUUGGAAUGCUUGAUACUUAACUUAGAAUAUAUAACAAGUCCACCUUGUACUUUGUAUACCUCAUUUGCUUAACAGCAUAAAUGAGCCAACUUCAUCGGGCGUCCGCCAUCACCAGGAGACAUCAAGGAGCAUCCAUCCAUGCAUGCUUGCAUCUUGGAUGGUGCUAUGGACCAGGCAUCCUACUUCCGUUAGAAUCCCUAUCUGCAUUUGUGUUGGAACAUGGUGCACCAGUUUCUCUUGGUAUAGCUCCUCUUCCUUGUCCUUCAUUUUGCUUAGAGUAGAAAACCUAAUCUUCACAACAUUGUCACUUCUGUUACAAGGGAACUAAAAAAACAUACAUAAGCCAAUAAUCUUAGCUUGCAAUUUCCAUUUUUACCCCUUAUUUUACCUUGCAGAAAAUAGUAAUCCAGUAAGAUGAGCCACCUCCACUUGUUUCCAAGAACUUUUCAAGCCUGCAUAACACUGACAAGUAGAAAAAAUGGUGUAUCUCAACUUGCAUACGAGUCGGCUUAAAGGUAUGUUAUCAGGACAUAUGAAAGUCUAAUGUACGACACGCACGUGAUUAAAAAGAGAUUACAUAGAAAACAUUUAUUAACAAAUGUAACUAAGAAAUCACAAUGUCAACAAUCCAUCGUAUAACUAACGGACUCGUAUGCUGAUUGGUCGUAUACAUCUUUAGACUUUGGUCCUGGGAUGGGUGAGCAGGAGAACAUGUAGUCAUACAAGUAUUCUAUAUAACAAUUUUCACAUAUUGUUUCACUACUCUUAGCAGCUGCAACAAGAUCAGGGAUGAAGGAUGCCCACCUGGCAGGCCACUCAUGUUUUAGGACCUAUUACAAUGCAAGGAUGCCUUGAAAAAUUGAGUUAUACAGAUUGUUUUGGAGAAUUGCCGGAAUAAAGGUUCUUUUGCUUGUCUUGAGCAUUCUAAGCUUCUCCUAGCAUCGUCAGACCCUGAGAUAGUUGUAGCAGCUUUGGAAACUCUUGCUGCAUUGGUGAAAAUAAAUCCUUCAAAGUUGCAUAUGAAUGGAAAGCUAAUUAGCUGUGGAGCUAUAAACACCCAUCUUCUAUCAACUUGUUAAUUUAGGAUACUUCCGCCAGGUCGUGCACUUGCAAGGGGUGCAGGGCCAGCGUCAAGAAGUACACCUCGCUCAAGAACGCCUUUGCCAUCCUCGCUACGGCGGUCGUGGCCACGUCCAUCCUGGCGGCGACCAGGCAGUCGAAGGCUAUCUUGCUGGCGGCGUCGGCCGUGCUAGCCACGGUGUCUUAUGCGUGUGACAUGGUGCUUUCUUUGAUAACAACAAACUUCAUUAGGAAUCAUAGGAUGUUGUAAUGACCGUAGCGGAACUGUAUUUAGUAGGUAUAUGGAAAAUGGAGGAAAGGGCUCCUCUUGCCCUUUGCAUAUUUUUAUCUGAUAAAUGGUUGAUCUUUUGGCAAUCUAAAGCUUCAUGUCAGCAGCAGAUG